CGGACGAUCUCUUCCUGAGACAUG
rnacentral:misc_RNA from 1 species